GAUGAACGCUAGCUACAGGCUUAACACAUGCAAGUCGAGGGGCAUCAGGAAGAAAGCUUGCUUUCUUUGCUGGCGACCGGCGCACGGGUGAGUAACACGUAUCCAACCUGCCCUUUACUCGGGGAUAGCCUUUCGAAAGAAAGAUUAAUACCCGAUAGCAUAAUGAUUCCGCAUGGUUUCAUUAUUAAAGGAUUCCGGUAAAGGAUGGGGAUGCGUUCCAUUAGGUUGUUGGUGAGGUAACGGCCCACCAAGCCUUCGAUGGAUAGGGGUUCUGAGAGGAAGGUCCCCCACAUUGGAACUGAGACACGGUCCAAACUCCUACGGGAGGCAGCAGUGAGGAAUAUUGGUCAAUGGGCGCUAGCCUGAACCAGCCAAGUAGCGUGAAGGAUGAAGGCUCUAUGGGUCGUAAACUUCUUUUAUAUAAGAAUAAAGUGCAGUAUGUAUACUGUUUUGUAUGUAUUAUAUGAAUAAGGAUCGGCUAACUCCGUGCCAGCAGCCGCGGUAAUACGGAGGAUCCGAGCGUUAUCCGGAUUUAUUGGGUUUAAAGGGAGCGUAGGUGGACUGGUAAGUCAGUUGUGAAAGUUUGCGGCUCAACCGUAAAAUUGCAGUUGAUACUGUCAGUCUUGAGUACAGUAGAGGUGGGCGGAAUUCGUGGUGUAGCGGUGAAAUGCUUAGAUAUCACGAAGAACUCCGAUUGCGAAGGCAGCUCACUGGACUGCAACUGACACUGAUGCUCGAAAGUGUGGGUAUCAAACAGGAUUAGAUACCCUGGUAGUCCACACAGUAAACGAUGAAUACUCGCUGUUUGCGAUAUACAGUAAGCGGCCAAGCGAAAGCAUUAAGUAUUCCACCUGGGGAGUACGCCGGCAACGGUGAAACUCAAAGGAAUUGACGGGGGCCCGCACAAGCGGAGGAACAUGUGGUUUAAUUCGAUGAUACGCGAGGAACCUUACCCGGGCUUAAAUUGCAGUGGAAUGAUGUGGAAACAUGUCAGUGAGCAAUCACCGCUGUGAAGGUGCUGCAUGGUUGUCGUCAGCUCGUGCCGUGAGGUGUCGGCUUAAGUGCCAUAACGAGCGCAACCCUUAUCUUUAGUUACUAACAGGUUAUGCUGAGGACUCUAGAGAGACUGCCGUCGUAAGAUGUGAGGAAGGUGGGGAUGACGUCAAAUCAGCACGGCCCUUACGUCCGGGGCUACACACGUGUUACAAUGGGGGGUACAGAAGGCAGCUAGCGGGUGACCGUAUGCUAAUCCCAAAAUCCUCUCUCAGUUCGGAUCGAAGUCUGCAACCCGACUUCGUGAAGCUGGAUUCGCUAGUAAUCGCGCAUCAGCCACGGCGCGGUGAAUACGUUCCCGGGCCUUGUACACACCGCCCGUCAAGCCAUGGGAGCCGGGGGUACCUGAAGUACGUAACCGCAAGGAUCGUCCUAGGGUAAAACUGGUAAA
rnacentral:rRNA from 1 species